rnacentral:rRNA from 1 species
GUGCUGUGAGCUCGAUGAGUAGGGCGGGACACGUGGUAUCCUGUCUGAAUAUGGGGGGACCAUCCUCCAAGGCUAAAUACUCCUGACUGACCGAUAGUGAACCAGUACCGUGAGGGAAAGGCGAAAAGAACCCCGGCGAGGGGAGUGAAAAAGAACCUGAAACCGUGUACGUACAAGCAGUGGGAGCACAGGUUUACCUGUGUGACUGCGUACCUUUUGUAUAAUGGGUCAGCGACUUAUAUUCUGUAGCAAGGUUAACCGUAUAGGGGAGCCGAAGGGAAACCGAGUCUUAACCGGGCGUUAAGUUGCAGGGUAUAGACCCGAAACCCGGUGAUCUAGCCAUGGGCAGGUUGAAGGUUGGGUAACACUAACUGGAGGACCGAACCGACUAAUGUUGAAAAAUUAGCGGAUGACCUGUGGCUGGGGGUGAAAGGCCAAUCAAACCGGGAGAUAGCUGGUUCUCCCCGAAAGCUAUUUAGGUAGCGCCUCGUGAAUUCAUCUCCGGGGGUAGAGCACUGUUUCGGCUAGGGGGCCAUCCCGGCUUACCAACCCGAUGCAAACUGCGAAUACCGGAGAAUGUUAUCACGGGAGACACACGGCGGGUGCUAACGUCCGUCGUGAAGAGGGAAACAACCCAGACCGCCAGCUAAGGUCCCAAAGUCAUGGUUAAGUGGGAAACGAUGUGGGAAGGCCCAGACAGCCAGGAUGUUGGCUUAGAAGCAGCCAUCAUUUAAAGAAAGCGUAAUAGCUCACUGGUCGAGUCGGCCUGCGCGGAAGAUGUAACGGGGCUAAACCAUGCACCGAAGCUGCGGCAGCGAACGUAUCACUUAAAGCGAUUCAGCGGGUUACGAUUGACGGAGCGAAGCGACGUCAAAGCGUAUACAAAGUCGAGUCGGUUUAAGGAUACGUUCGUUGGGUAGGGGAGCGUUCUGUAAGCCUGUGAAGGUGUGUCGUGAGGCAUGCUGGAGGUAUCAGAAGUGCGAAUGCUGACAUAAGUAACGAUAAAGCGGGUGAAAAGCCCGCUCGCCGGAAGACCAAGGGUUCCUGUCCAACGUUAAUCGGGGCAGGGUGAGUCGACCCCUAAGGCGAGGCCGAAAGGCGUAGUCGAUGGGAAACGGGUUAAUAUUCCCGUACUUGGUGUUACUGCGAAGGGGGGACGGAGAAGGCUAUGUUGGCCGGGCGACGGUUGUCCCGGUUUAAGCGUGUAGGUGUGUGUUCCAGGUAAAUCCGGUUCACUUUAACACUGAGGCGUGACGACGAGGCACUACGGUGCUGAAGCAACAAAUGCCCUGCUUCCAGGAAAAGCCUCUAAGCAUCAGGUAACAUCAAAUCGUACCCCAAACCGACACAGGUGGUCAGGUAGAGAAUACCAAGGCGCUUGAGAGAACUCGGGUGAAGGAACUAGGCAAAAUGGUGCCGUAACUUCGGGAGAAGGCACGCUGACACGUAGGUGAAGUGAUUUACUCAUGGAGCUGAAGUCAGUCGAAGAUACCAGCUGGCUGCAACUGUUUAUUAAAAACACAGCACUGUGCAAACACGAAAGUGGACGUAUACGGUGUGACGCCUGCCCGGUGCCGGAAGGUUAAUUGAUGGGGUCAGCGCAAGCGAAGCUCCUGAUCGAAGCCCCGGUAAACGGCGGCCGUAACUAUAACGGUCCUAAGGUAGCGAAAUUCCUUGUCGGGUAAGUUCCGACCUGCACGAAUGGCGUAAUGAUGGCCAGGCUGUCUCCACCCGAGACUCAGUGAAAUUGAACUCGCUGUGAAGAUGCAGUGUACCCGCGGCAAGACGGAAAGACCCCGUGAACCUUUACUAUAGCUUGACACUGAACAUUGAGCCUUGAUGUGUAG